GCGAACGGGUGAGUAACACGUGGGCAAUCUGCCCUUCACUCUGGGACAAGCCCUGGAAACGGGGUCUAAUACCGGAUAACACUCUGUCCCGCAUGGGACGGGGUUAAAAGCUCCGGCGGUGAAGGAUGAGCCCGCGGCCUAUCAGCUUGUUGGUGGGGUGAUGGCCUACCAAGGCGACGACGGGUAGCCGGCCUGAGAGGGCGACCGGCCACACUGGGACUGAGACACGGCCCAGACUCCUACGGGAGGCAGCAGUGGGGAAUAUUGCACAAUGGGCGAAAGCCUGAUGCAGCGACGCCGCGUGAGGGAUGACGGCCUUCGGGUUGUAAACCUCUUUCAGCAGGGAAGAAGCGAGAGUGACGGUACCUGCAGAAGAAGCGCCGGCUAACUACGUGCCAGCAGCCGCGGUAAUACGUAGGGCGCAAGCGUUGUCCGGAAUUAUUGGGCGUAAAGAGCUCGUAGGCGGCUUGUCACGUCGGAUGUGAAAGCCCGGGGCUUAACCCCGGGUCUGCAUUCGAUACGGGCUAGCUAGAGUGUGGUAGGGGAGAUCGGAAUUCCUGGUGUAGCGGUGAAAUGCGCAGAUAUCAGGAGGAACACCGGUGGCGAAGGCGGAUCUCUGGGCCAUUACUGACGCUGAGGAG
rnacentral:rRNA from 1 species